UGGGGAAUAUUGGACAAUGGGGGCAACCCUGAUCCAGCCAUGCCGCGUGAGUGAUGAAGGCCUUCGGGUUGUAAAGCUCUUUUGUGAGGGAAGAUGAUGACGGUACCUCAAGAAUAAGCCCCGGCUAACUUCGUGCCAGCAGCCGCGGUAAUACGAAGGGGGCUAGCGUUGUUCGGAAUUACUGGGCGUAAAGGGUGCGUAGGUGGCUUUGUAAGUCAGAAGUGAAAUCCCUGGGCUCAACCCAGGAAUUGCUUUUGAGACUACAAGGCUUGAGUACAGGAGAGGUGAGUGGAAUUCCCAGUGUAGAGGUAAAAUUCGUAGAUAUUGGGAGGAACACCAGUGGCGAAGGCGGCUCACUGGCCUGUAACUGACACUGAGGCACGAAAGCGUGGGGAGCAAACAGGAUUAGAUACCCCCGUAGUCC
rnacentral:rRNA from 1 species